GGGAGUUCAUGGAAGGCACUAUUUACAGAGGUAUGGGCAGGGUGAAGGGGCAAUCAUAGGUGGUGAAGCACCAAGGGAUUAUCAUUGGCGGGAAGCCAUUGUCUUCUUAUCCCCUCUUGGUCAGCUCAAUGUCUAGGAAUCGGGUAUCUUCAAAAACCCUGUUUUAAGGACAGAGCCCCUGCAUCUCUGUUUAAGCAGAGCCCCCAUCCCCUCCCAUCACUCCUAGAAUUGCCUCUGUUGUUUAUGGAGAUAUGAAUUAGUAGUUGAUGGUUUUAAACUGUCCUUAUAUUACAGCUUUGAAAUAGUAGCUAGUGGUACCCUCCUUAGCAUGAAGGAAAAAGAUACGAGGGCGACAUUCAGACAAGGAUCCCGACCAAGACAGAUGGAAACAAAUGAAAGCCUAAUGAGGUUUCUCCAGAAGAGCCUUCUAGUUCUAAUGUUGUGGACUAUGGAGCCAGACUCUCUGAUCUUGUCCCCAUUGAGUUCCACCGUUUCAAGCAAUGGAUCUUGGACAAGGGAUUGAACUUCUCUGAGUUAAUAUGUAGGAAGAACUGAAAACCAUGCUGGACACACAGCCAGCACUCGAUGCCGGGCUCAUGAAUGGAGGAAUGAAGGGAGAAGAGAUAGAUGUUUAGUUGCUCUCCUUCCCUCAGAUACUACUGUCUCUGUCCUCUUGUGGUGCCCUCCAUCUCAGAGGAUUUGGAGGGAAACUGUGACUUGGAGGAAUAAGGGAGAAAGGAAGGGCACAGAGAGGCCCAGCCAUAUAUGUCUCGGUCCUUCCUUUUUCUGAGGUUGACAAAGACCCUUUAAUUCCUCAGUGGCAAUCCCCCAACCCACUAGAGGGAUGGUCCAAAGUACAGUUGUCCCUUAGUGUCAUCGGAGGCUUAGUUUCAAGACCCAAUGGAUUCCAAAAUCCAAGGAUGCUCAAGUCCUUUAUGUAAAAUGGUGCAGUAUUUGCAUAUAACCUGCACAUAUCCAUAUACUUCAAAUCAUCUCUAAAUUACUUAUGAUAUCUAAUGCUAUGUAAAUAGUUGUUCUACUAUGUUGUUUAGGGAAUAAUAACAAGGAAAAAAGUCUGUAUGUAUUCAAUGCAGAUGCAUAAUUUAAAAAAAUAUGUAUUUUUGGUCUUUGGUUGUUUUUAUCUAUAGGUGUGGAGACAGCAGAUUUUGAGGACCAAUGGGAUGGUUCUGUGAAUCGAGACCAGACUCUGAAUCCAGACAGCCCUGCAUGAAACAACCCAUCUCGCUCUCUGUGGAACAUCUAGGAUGAUAUUGGCUCAGAAGGCUGCUAUGGACGUUGGCUGUCAUUACUUCCAUGCCAGUCGGCCCAGAGAGCCACUCUGGACAAAGUCAUCAUCCCUUUGUCUUUGGCAGAUGCCAAAAUCAGUCCCACUCUGAGGAAGAAGCUUGUCUACUUCCCUGCUCUAUCCACGCCAGUUUGGCGGAUGCCACUAAUUCAGAAAAAAACAAAGCAAAACAAAACAGAAAACAUGAUUUGUGACCCUCACAAAUAGACUGGAAUUGGGAGUAAAUGUCAGAACUGCUAGGCACAGCUUCCUGCUGUAGUCCUGCGAAGACAGUGGGUAGAUGAUGGGCUGCUUACAUCAUCUGCAUAGCAGCUGACAACUUUCCCCUCAAUUUAAGUGGGGAGCCUCUAUUUAUCCCAUAAUGACAAGAGGGACAAUUAGUAGCCAUAGGAAAUUAAAAUAUAUUGAGCUAAAAGCUUCAAUAAAAUGUAUAUAAUAGGCAGGUCACAUUUUCAGUUAUAUGGUUCAUUAAUAUAUAUUCCCUAAAACUGAACAUCCCCAUAUAAUGAAAUUCUGAUACAACAUGGUUAGUAUAUACAAAAGGUGCUAUAAACUGCAGAGCUGCUGGGAUUAAUUCAAAGUUCUCUGAUCUUAAAGUCUUGUGUGUCGUGUCAUUGCAUGGGCCAGAAGGAACAUUCUAGAAAAGUGGAUGGGUUGAAAGAUGGUGACAGAGAUUUUUCAGGCCCACCUACUACGUACCAGGUGUUUAACAGGUGGUGCCAUAUUCAAUGUUCACUAAAUUUAUGUUAUACAGACAGUUUUCAGUAAACCAUCUGUUCCUGUGAUAAAAGCAUGCCUCAGGAAUUAUAAUGACUGGGAUUUCGAACUGGACUUUGCCACUUUCCAGCUGUGAGAUUUUAGAGGAGUUAAGUAGCCUAUCUGAGUCAGUGAGAAAUAGAUAAGCUAACGCAUGUAAAACACCUGGUACAUAAUAAGUGCCUAAGAAAUUUGAAUUUUUUUUUGUUGUUGUUGUUCUCAUUUCUGUCAGUGGUUCUCAGUUUGGGCUGCAUGCUGGAAUCACUUGAAGAGGUUUAAAAACUGGCUCUCCACUGAGUCCUUCCUCCAGAGAUUUGGAUUUAAUUGGUCCAGGGUGUGGCCUGGCCACUGGGAGGGGCUUUUUAAAAGCUCCCUUGGUGAAUCUAAAGUGCAGCCAAGGUUGAAAACCACUUGUCUUAAUCAAAUCAUCCAGUGUCACAGAGGGAGUUAGUGAGUGAUGCAAUAAUAAUAUUGCUAACCAUAUUGGGCAGAGUUAUCAGAACUGGGAAUGCUGGGAAUACUGCUAGGAAGGGAAAGGACAUCAAGGAGUGUGAGCUCCAUUGUGAGUCGAACGUCCGCCAGCCUCCAGAGUGCAAUUGUAUCAGACAAGGGAAAAGCCAGGCUGGUUUUAUUUUGAUCAAAGAUACCAUUUUGGGGGAAACCAAUUCCUUAGAUGAAGUCAAUGAGUUAAAGAACCCGGGGAUGUCAUUUUUCCAAUGCUUGCUCCAGGAACAAAGAUAAUUGUCAAGGUCCUGCUAUUAUAAGGGAGAGCUGGGAUUCUACUGUGUGACAUAUAAGGAAGCUCCUUAAGUUCACUGAGCUUCGAUUUCCCAAUUCACCUCUCACUUCUAAGGAGAACUGCCUGCAAUCUUGAUCCUCUCAGGAGAAGAAAAUGCCAUGUGUAUCUGCACCCACUGUUUGUAGAGCAGUCCCCUUUAUCUGAAGUUUAGCGUCCUUUGGUUUCCAUUACCCCUGCCUAACUGUGGUUCAAAACAUUAAAUGAAAAAUUCCAGA
rnacentral:lncRNA from 1 species